UUAAGUGACUAAGCGUACACGGUGGAUGCCUUGGCAGUUGGAGGCGAUGAAGGACGUAUUAACUUGCGAUAAGCCUAGUCAAGCUAGUAAAAAGCGCUUGAGACUAGGAUUUCCGAAUGGGGAAACCCACCUGCUUGCAGGUAUCUUGCACUGAAUACAUAGGUGUAAGAGGCGAACGCGGAGAACUGAAACAUCUAAGUACCCGUAGGAACAGAAAUCAACCGAGAUUCCGGAAGUAGCGGCGAGCGAAACCGGACCAGCCCUUAAGCUUAUUAUGUGUUAGUGGAACAUUCUGGAAAGUUUGACGAUACAGGGUGAUAGUCCCGUACACGAAAAUGCAUCUUAAGUGAAAUCGAGUAGGUCGGAGCACGUGAAACUUUGACUGAAUAUAGGUGGACCAUCAUCUAAGGCUAAAUACUCCCAACUGACCGAUAGUGAACCAGUACCGUGAGGGAAAGGCGAAAAGAACCCCUGUGAGGGGAGUGAAAUAGAACCUGAAACCGUAUACGUACAAGCAGUGGGAGCCACUUCGUGUGGUGACUGCGUACCUUUUGUAUAAUGGGUCAGCGACUUAUAUUUAGUAGCAAGGUUAAGUGAAUAACGGAGCCGUAGCGAAAGCGAGUGUUAACUGCGCGUUUAGUUGCUAGGUAUAGACCCGAAACCCGGUGAUCUAGCCAUGGGCAGGUUGAAGGUUGAGUAACAUCAACUGGAGGACCGAACCCACUAACGUUGAAAAGUUAGGGGAUGACCUGUGGCUGGGGGUGAAAGGCCAAUCAAACCGGGAGAUAGCUGGUUCUCCCCGAAAUCUAUUUAGGUAGAGCCUCGGACGAAUUCCAUUGGGGGUAGAGCACUGUUAAGGCUAGGGGGUCAUCCCGACUUACCAACCCUUUGCAAACUCCGAAUACCAAUGAGAACUAUCCGGGAGACACACGGCGGGUGCUAACGUCCGUCGUGGAGAGGGAAACAACCCAGACCGCCAGCUAAGGUCCCAAAAUAUUGCUAAGUGGGAAACGAUGUGGGAAGGCAUAGACAGCUAGGAGGUUGGCUUAGAAGCAGCCACCCUUUAAAGAAAGCGUAAUAGCUCACUAGUCGAGUCGGCCUGCGCGGAAGAUGUAACGGGGCUAAGCAAUAUACCGAAGCUGCGGCAGCAUGUUUACAUGCUGGGUAGGGGAGCGUUGUGUAAGUGGAUGAAGGUGAGUUGUAAAGCUUGCUGGACAUAUCACAAGUGCGAAUGCUGACAUGAGUAACGAUAAUGGGAGUGAAAAACUCCCACGCCGGAAGACCAAGGUUUCCUGUCCCAUGCUAAUCAGGGCAGGGUAAGUCGGCCCCUAAGGCGAGGCAGAAAUGCGUAGUCGAUGGGAAACGGGUUAAUAUUCCCGUACUUAUAUAAUCAGUGAUGGAGGGACGGAGAAGGCUAGGCAAGCUUGGCGUUGGUUGUCCAAGUGAAAGUGAGUAGGCUGAAGACUUAGGUAAAUCCGGGUUUUCAAGGCCGAGACACGAGACGAGCUCCCAAGGGAGUGAAGUUGUUGAUGCCCUGCUUCCAGGAAAAGCUUCUAAACUUAUGAUUAUAUGAACCGUACCCCAAACCGACACAGGUGGUCAGGUAGAGAAUACUAAGGCGCUUGAGAGAACUCGGGUGAAGGAACUCGGCAAAAUUGUACCGUAACUUCGGGAGAAGGUACGCCUCUGUUUGUGAACACUUCGCGUGGUAAGCAAAUGGAGGCCGCAGUGACCAGGUGGCUGGGACUGUUUAUUAAAAACACAGCACUCUGCAAACUCGUAAGAGGACGUAUAGGGUGUGACACCUGCCCGGUGCCGGAAGGUUAAUUGAUGGGGUUAGUUUUCGGACGAAGCUCUUGAUCGAAGCCCCGGUAAACGGCGGCCGUAACUAUAACGGUCCUAAGGUAGCGAAAUUCCUUGUCGGGUAAGUUCCGAC
rnacentral:rRNA from 1 species